GACUUUAGUCUAAAGAUUCUCCCACUACAUUUACAAAUUGGUAGCCUCUACCUUCAACUCAAGAAUUACACUAAUUUUUUAGUGGGAACUAGAAUCCACAUGGAUUACAUUUGGGCCUGAGUGUGGCUCGAUCAAUCCUAGUACAUCGAUGGGUUGGUUCAUUACCAAUUGUUCCUCCAAACAACUUCUAGCAAUAAGUUUUGUCCCAGGCA
rnacentral:lncRNA from 1 species